GAAGAAAGGGGGAGGAGGGUUGAACACAUGCAAGUCGAACGGAAAGGCCCUGCUUUUGUGGGGUGCUCGAGUGGCGAACGGGUGAGUAACACGUGAGUAACCUGCCCUUGACUUUGGGAUAACUUCAGGAAACUGGGGCUAAUACCGGAUAGGAGCUCCUGCUGCAUGGUGGGGGUUGGAAAGUUUCGGCGGUUGGGGAUGGACUCGCGGCUUAUCAGCUUGUUGGUGGGGUAGUGGCUUACCAAGGCUUUGACGGGUAGCCGGCCUGAGAGGGUGACCGGCCACAUUGGGACUGAGAUACGGCCCAGACUCCUACGGGAGGCAGCAGUGGGGAAUAUUGCACAAUGGGCGGAAGCCUGAUGCAGCAACGCCGCGUGCGGGAUGACGGCCUUCGGGUUGUAAACCGCUUUCGCCUGUGACGAAGCGUGAGUGACGGUAAUGGGUAAAGAAGCACCGGCUAACUACGUG
rnacentral:rRNA from 1 species